rnacentral:lncRNA from 1 species
CUUGGCCAAACGCACCCAGCAGGAUUCUUGCUAAAAUUCGUCUAGGCUGGCCAAGGGCGAGGCCCCGUCAGCAAGGGACUCGAAGAGCCUAGGCAGUUAGGUCGGGGAGAGUCGCCAGCUAUGCGUCAGCCGUGGUCUGGGCUGCUUGCACCCCUCGGUCCUAUUUAAUUCUCUCAACAGCCCUAUGAGGUGGAGGUUGUGAUGUCUUAUUUACAGACAAGGAGACUGUCAAGGUGCUAAGCCAGCGCCAAACGAAACGCCCUAAAUAAACUCAGCCUUCUGCUCAAGGAUCUCACAGUGGGCAGACAGAGACUACAGUAGGUGGGCGCUUGGCUUCUAGGAGCCCAGACAGGCCCCACAGCAAGGGCCAAAGGAGAUUCGAACCCAGGAGCCCCUGAUUCUCUUCCACAAUGGCCAGGAAUAGGGCUCUGGCCCUUCACAGUGAGUAGGGAGCACUGCCAGCCAGGCAGCGACAAACACCCCUUUUGCCAGCUUGUUUGUGUUUUCAGAACGGGCUUGUUGAGAUGAAUUACAGGUGCAGGUGAAAUGUUUUCAUAAAAGAAGAGAAGAGCAGCCUUUCGCCGUGGGGUUUCUCUUCCUGGAGGCUCGUUGCCAGUUCCUCCACCUCCCCUCCUUGCCGGCAGCCUUGGAAUUGGCCACUGAGCUGGCAGACCCGUUUGAGUGCUGCAGAAGGCGCCGGACAAACCAAGAAAAGGUGUCGUUUAUGU